GGGUUGUGAGGUUAAGCGACUAAGCGUACACGGUGGAUGCCCUGGCAGUCAGAGGCGAUGAAGGACGUGCUAAUCUGCGAUAAGCGUCGGUAAGGUGAUAUGAACCGUUAUAACCGGCGAUUUCCGAAUGGGGAAACCCAGUGUGUUUCGACACACUAUCAUUAACUGAAUCCAUAGGUUAAUGAGGCGAACCGGGGGAACUGAAACAUCUAAGUACCCCGAGGAAAAGAAAUCAACCGAGAUUCCCCCAGUAGCGGCGAGCGAACGGGGAGCAGCCCAGAGCCUGAAUCAGUAUGUGUGUUAGUGGAAGCGUCUGGAAAGGCGCGCGAUACAGGGUGACAGCCCCGUACACAAAAAUGCACAUAUUGUGAGCUCGAUGAGUAGGGCGGGACACGUGGUAUCCUGUCUGAAUAUGGGGGGACCAUCCUCCAAGGCUAAAUACUCCUGACUGACCGAUAGUGAACCAGUACCGUGAGGGAAAGGCGAAAAGAACCCCGGCGAGGGGAGUGAAAAAGAACCUGAAACCGUGUACGUACAAGCAGUGGGAGCACGCUUAGGCGUGUGACUGCGUACCUUUUGUAUAAUGGGUCAGCGACUUAUAUUCUGUAGCAAGGUUAACCGAAUAGGGGAGCCGAAGGGAAACCGAGUCUUAACUGGGCGUUAAGUUGCAGGGUAUAGACCCGAAACCCGGUGAUCUAGCCAUGGGCAGGUUGAAGGUUGGGUAACACUAACU
rnacentral:rRNA from 1 species